rnacentral:rRNA from 1 species
UCCACGCCGUAAACGAUGUCAACUAGCCGUUGGGGGGGUUAACCCUUUAGUGGCGCAGCUAACGCGAUAAGUUGACCGCCUGGGGAGUACGGCCGCAAGGUUAAAACUCAAAGGAAUUGACGGGGGCCCGCACAAGCGGUGGAGCAUGUGGUUUAAUUCGAUGCAACGCGAAGAACCUUACCUGCCCCUGACAUUGAUAGAAUCCCGUAGAGAUAUGGG